AGCAGCCGCGGUAAUUCCAGCUCCAAUAGCGUAUAUUAAAGUUGUUGCAGUUAAAAAGCUCGUAGUUGAAUUUUGGAUUCGGCCAAUUGGUCCAUCUUUUAGAUGAGUACUGGUUGUGUUGGGUCUAUCCGCCUGGUGAUACGUAAUGCCCUUUAUUGGGUGUUGCGGGUAGUCAGGACCUUUACCUUGAAAAAAUUAGAGUGUUUAAAGCAGGCUUAUGCCGGAAUACAUUAGCAUGGAAUAAUAGAAUAGGACGAAGUUGUUUUAUUUUGUUGGUUUCUAGGACAACCGUAAUGAUUAAUAGGGAUAGUUGGGGGCAUUAGUAUUCAAUUGUCAGAGGUGAAAUUCUUGGAUUUAUUGAAGACUAACUACUGCGAAAGCAUUUGCCAAGGAUGUUUUCAUUAAUCAAGAACGAAAGUUAGGGGAUCGAAGACGAUCAGAUACCGUCGU
rnacentral:rRNA from 1 species